AUUGAACGCUGGCGGCAUGCUUUACACAUGCAAGUCGAACGGGGUGAAGGGGCAACUCUUCAUUCAGUGGCGAACGGGUGAGUAAUGCAUCGGAACGUACCUCGUAGUGGGGGAUAACUCGGCGAAAGCCGUGCUAAUACCGCAUAUGCUCUACGGAGGAAAGCAGGGGACCUGAAAGGGCCUUGUGCUAUGGGAGCGGCCGAUGUCCGAUUAGCUAGUUGGGGGGUAAUGGCCUACCAAGGCGACGAUCGGUAGCUGGUCUGAGAGGAUGAUCAGCCACACUGGGACUGAGACACGGCCCAGACUCCUACGGGAGGCAGCAGUGGGGAAUUGUUCGCAAUGGGCGCAAGCCUGACGACGCAACGCCGCGUGGAGGAUGAAGAUUUUCGGAUCGUAAACUCCUUUCGAUCGAGACGAAUGGCCCUCGGGU
rnacentral:rRNA from 1 species